rnacentral:rRNA from 1 species
UACGUAGGGUGCGAGCGUUAAUCGGAAUUACUGGGCGUAAAGCGUGCGCAGGCGGUUCGUUGUGUCUGAUGUGAAAGCCCCGGGCUCAACCUGGGAAUGGCAUUGGAAACUGGCGAGCUAGAGUGUGGCAGAGGGGGGUGGAAUUCCGCGUGUAGCAGUGAAAUGCGUAGAGAUGCGGAGGAACACCGAUGGCGAAGGCAGCCCCCUGGGCUGACACUGACGCUCAGGCACGAAAGCGUGGGGAGCGAUCCGG